CAGGCACACACCAGUAUGCCAGGCGGGCAGACUCUCUGCCAGCAGAACUAGGCAAGAGGGAGAGAACCCAGUCCAGCCGAUCCUCUCUGGCCUGAGCAGCAGGAUGAGAAGAUGGAUUUAAACACCAUAUGCCUGUGAUUCAGAAUGUGGAAUCACAGUGUGUGUGGCAGUAGAUGCCCGUGGCAGACAGUAUUUGUCCUCUGUGAAGGACCAUUGAGAAAGUACUUUUUAAAAACUGGUCAUGACUUGACUGCUAAAUGCAUCAACUCACAGCAGCAACUUCACAAAGAAGUGAAUCAUAUUCGUACAAAUGAAACCAGCAUAUCUGAUAAGCCACCACUGUGAAAGGCUUGUUGAAACACCAAAUGGGUCAUGAUGCACAGGCUGAGAACCCCUGCUGUAGAGGGAGUCAGAGAACCAACAUCUCCUGUUCUGUGGAGAGGAAACGAGAAGUGACUAACUUCCAAGUUCUCAAAAUGCUGGAGCUUCAAAGCUAUCCUCCAGAAGCUGCCUAACCUUACUGCUCCCUUGAGAUCUUGGCAUAAUUUCUAUCUACCCGAACCUUUCAUGGGUUAAGAGUGCCCAUUUACAUCUCUGUCCUCCUUUCCAAGGUCUCUGAGGGAAUGAAUCAUUAGUUUUGUUUCCUUCCCUGAGUGGACUACAUCUCUUAUCUAUUAUUACAGGAGGAAUUGUGCCCUCCUAAAAUUUGCAUGUUACAAAAUAUAAAUUUCAGUGCUGCAGAAUGUGUCUAUAUCUAAAUACAAGAUACUAAUUGAGUUUAAGUGAAGUUAGUAGGGUGUGCUGCAACCCAAUAUGGAUUUUAACAUGGGCCAAAGACACUGAGUACCUCAAUUGCUUUGUGUACAUAGGGCACUAGGGGGAGACAGAGUCAAAAGCAUGACUCAAAAAGAGCACUGCAUCUAGAUGAGGAAGAAGCUC